rnacentral:misc_RNA from 1 species
GAUGAAGAACGCAGCGAAAUGCGAUAAGUAGUGUGAAUUGCAGAAUUCAGUGAAUCAUCGAAUCUUUGAACGCACAUUGCGCCCCUCGGUAUUCCGUGGGGCAUGCCUGUUCGAGCGUCAUUUACCCCUCAAGCACUGCUUGGUGUUGGGCGUCUGUCCCGCUUCGCGCGCGGACUCGCCCCAAAGGUAUUGGCAGCGGUCGUGCCAGCUUCUCGCACAGCACAUUGCGCUUCUCGAGGCGGUCGAUCGGCGUCCACGAAGCUCACCUCCACCGUUUGACCUCGGAUCAGGUAGGGAUACCCGCUGAACUUAAGCAUAUCAAUAAGCGGAGGA